UACGAAGGGGGCUAGCGUUGUUCGGAAUUACUGGGCGUAAAGGGCGCGUAGGCGGUGUGUCAAGUCAGGCGUGAAAGCCCCGGGCUCAACCUGGGAACCGCGCUUGAGACUGGCGCGCUAGAGUUCGGGAGAGGAUGGUGGAAUUCCCAGUGUAGAGGUGAAAUUCGUAGAUAUUGGGAAGAACACCGAUGGCGAAGGCAGCCAUCUGGACCGACACUGACGCUGAGGCGCGAAAGCGUGGGGAGCAAACAGG
rnacentral:rRNA from 1 species